CCGGUUGAUCCUGCCGGAGGCUACCGCUAUUGGAGUUCGAUUAAGCCAUGCGAGUCGCGAGUCUUAGGGACUCGGCGUACCGCUCAGUAACACGUGGGUAACCUGCCCUAUGCUGGGGGAUAACCUCGGGAAACUGAGAAUAAUACCCCAUAGUUCACCACGCCUGGAACGGUGGGUGGACCAAAGCUCCGGCGGCAUAGGAUGGGCCUGCGGCGUAUCAGGUUGUAGGGGGUGUAAUGUACCCUCUAGCCCUCUACGCGUACGGGUGUUGAGAGACAUCGCCCGGAGAUGGAUUCUGAGACACGAAUCCAGACCCUACGGGGUGCAGCAGGCGCGAAAACUUGGCAAUGCGAGAAAUCGUGACCAGGGAACUCCAAGUGCAUCGGGUAAGACCGAUGCUUUUCUUGACUCUUCAAAGGUCUUGGAAUAAGGGGUGGGUAAGGACGGUGCCAGCCGCCGCGGUAAUACCGGCGCCCCAAGUGGUAGUCGCUUUUAUUGGGCCUAAAACGUCCGUAGCCGGUCUGGUACAUUCGUGGGUAAAUCAACCAGCUCAACUGGUUGAAUUCUGCGAGCACGGCCAGACUUGGGACCGGGAGAGGUGUGGGGUACUCUCAGGGUAGGGGUAAAAUCCUGUCAUCCUGAGAGGACCACCUGUUGCGAAGGCGCCACACUAGAACGGAUCCGACGGUCAGGGACGAAGCCUAGGGGCACGAACCGGAUUAGAUACCCGGGUAGUCCUAGGUGUAAACGCUGUGGACUUGAUGUUGGGGGCGCUCCGAGCGCACUCAGUGUCGAAGCGAAGGUGAUAAGUCCACUGCCUGGGGAGUACGGUCGCAAGGCUGAAACUUAAAGGAAUUGGCGGGGGAGCACCGCAACCUGAGGAUUGUGCGGGUU
rnacentral:rRNA from 1 species